AAGACAGUGGAACAGCAUCUUUAAAGUUCUGAAAGAAAACAACUGCUAACUCACAAUUCUAUACUCAGUGAAAACACACUUCAGAAAUGACGAUGAAAUAAAGAAAUUUCAGAAAAACUCAGAAUUGUCAUUAGCACAUCUGGACUAAAACCAGUGCUAACAAAAGUUUUUGGGCUCCAAGAAAUGAUAUCAGAAGAAAACUUGGAACUUCGUGAAUGAAGAAAGAGCAACAGAAAUGGUCAAGUAACCUGGUUUGGUUAUGAGAGUCCUCGUAGCUUCUGGGACUAUAUCAGAGUGGCUUGCCGGAAAGUUUCUCAGAAUUGUAUCUGCAGCAUUGAAAAUAUGGAAAAUGUCAGUUCCUCUAGAGCUAAGGGUAGAGCCUGGAUCAGAGUAGCACUCAUGGAAAAACACUUAUCUGAAUACAUCUCUACGGCUCUGAGAGACUUCAAAACAACCAGGUUUAAAAGCCCUUUUAAUUUCCUAAUUUUUUUUGAAAAAAAAUAGCC